rnacentral:rRNA from 1 species
AUUGAACGCUGGCGGCAGGCCUAACACAUGCAAGUCGAACGGUAACAGGAAGCAGCUUGCUGCUUUGCUGACGAGUGGCGGACGGGUGAGUAAUGUCUGGGAAACUGCCCGAUGGAGGGGGAUAACUACUGGAAACGGUAGCUAAUACCGCAUAACGUCGCAAGACCAAAGAGGGGGACCUUAGGGCCUCUUGCCAUCGGAUGUGCCCAGAUGGGAUUAGCUAGUAGGUGGGGUAACGGCUCACCUAGGCGACGAUCCCUAGCUGGUCUGAGAGGAUGACCAGCCACACUGGGACUGAGACACGGUCCAGACUCCUACGGGAGGCAGCAGUGGGGAAUAUUGCACAAUGGGCGCAAGCCUGAUGCAGCCAUGCCGCGUGUAUGAAGAAGGCCUUCGGGUUGUAAAGUACUUUCAGCGGGGAGGAAGGGAGUAAAGUUAAUACCUUUGCUCAUUGACGUUACCCGCAGAAGAAGCACCGGCUAACUCCGUG